rnacentral:rRNA from 1 species
GUGGGGAAUAUUGGACAAUGGGCGAAAGCCUGAUCCAGCCAUGCCGCGUGUGUGAAGAAGGUCUUCGGAUUGUAAAGCACUUUAAGUUGGGAGGAAGGGCAGUAAGUUAAUACCUUGCUGUUUUGACGUUACCGACAGAAUAAGCACCGGCUAACUUCGUGCCAGCAGCCGCGGUAAUACGAAGGGUGCAAGCGUUAAUCGGAAUUACUGGGCGUAAAGCGCGCAUAGGUGGUUUUGUAAGUUGGAGGUGAAAUCCCCGGGCUCAACCUGGGAACUGCCUCCAAAACUGCAUGACUAGAGUACGGUAGAGGGUAGUGGAAUUUCCUGUGUAGCGGUGAAAUGCGUAGAUAUAGGAAGGAACACCAGUGGCGAAGGCGACUACCUGGACUGAUACUGACACUGAGGUGCGAAAGCGUGGGGAGCAAACAGGAUUAGAAACCCGUGUAGUCC